rnacentral:lncRNA from 1 species
ACCGAUUCUUCUAGAUCGAUGAGUGCAACUCUUCAAGGAUGCAGAUUUCAAAAGCUCCGACUCUUCAAGGACGGAGUGAAAACUCUUCUAGGUUUUCAAGGGUUGAACUCUACAAGGUUCACGAUACUUGCUUCAAGCAAAGUUUUUCAUUCAUCAAAAGCUAUUCGUCUUCUACCAGAAAUUGGAUGGCUUAUAUCGUCAAAGAAAUAAAGAUAGAGCAUUGAAACUAGGAGAAAUAAAGACAGAACAUUAAAACUAGGAGAAAUAAUAAAAACAUAACGUCUUCAUGGCUCCCAAGGUGUCUUUCCAGCUUCCGGGAUGGACUCAAGAUGUCGUUAUGGCUUCUCGGUUUCGUCGAGCUUUAAUGCGGGCCGAUCUUCUUGGUCGAGAGAGCCGGUCUUCAAUGUGGGCUGCAUCAUCCUCCCCAUCUUUAAAAGAAUUCGUCCUCAAAUUCUUGCCAUCAUCAUCAGAAGAAUCUCCCACCCUACUAGGUGCCAACGUAAUCUUCUUGCCUCCAAAUUCAAAAGAAUAUGUAUUUCGAUAACCAUCGUGCAUAGUCCUCUUAUUGAAUUGCCAUGGUCGACCAAGAAUAAUGUGACUAGCAUCCAUCGGCAGAACAUCACACCAUAUUUUGUUACUAUAAACAGAACCAAUGGAUAGAUUAACAAGGCAUCGUUUUGAAACAAUUACCUCAGCACCUAUCUUCAACCACAACAUUUUAUAAGGCGUAGGGUGCGUUUUUAAUUCCAACUUCAGCUUGUUUGCUGCUACUUCAGAAAUUAUAUUCUCACAACUAGAGUCAAUAAUUAAUUGACACACCUUUCCCAUGAUUGUGCAAGCAGAAUGAAAAAUAUUGGUACGCAGCCACCUAUCACCAGUGUCGUCUCGAGGAGUAGGAAAAAUUUUCCUCACCAUAAGAAGUUCGCCAGUGUCAGCAUGCACUAUUUGUUCAUCAUCCGCAGCUUCUUCAUCAUUUUUCAACUCCUCUUCAAGUGGAUUCUCAGCAUUCUCAUCAGAAUCAUCAUCCACCAAAAAGGCUUUACCGACUGGUCGAUUCUUAUUGAUUCGACAAUUUGCUAGCACGAUGACCCAACUCUCCACAAGAAUAGCAACAUAUUUCGGAUGUAGCAGGUUGCUUCGAAACAUGGGGUUGAGUAGAAGGCUUACUAGCAGAUUGCUGUCUCCGAGAAUGAGAGCGCUCCAUUUUGAGUGCCCGUUGGUGUGCAUCUCCUAAGUCCCAAAUGUUGAGGACUUCCAAGGUGUCUUGAAUGUAAAAUUGAAGACCGUUCAAGUAUUUGUUCACAAGCACAUCCUCUAGGUCCUGGAUAUUGUUACGGAUCACCAACUCAUUGAAUUCAUUGGUGUAUUGGUCCACCGUUCGCGUACCUUGUUUUAGAUUUUGGUACCGUUGGUAGAGCUCUCUCUUAUAUCCUUUGGGAAGAAAAUAUUUUUUAAUCUUGCCCUCCAUCUUUCUCCACGAAGUGACUUGUGCUUUGCCAAUGGCUUGGCGAGUUUGUUUUUCACGUCUCCACCAAGCAAUUGCCUUGCCUCAGAAUCGCAUAGCAAUGAUCCCAACGCGACGAUUCUCCGGAACAUUUCGAUGCUCAAACACCUCAUUCACAAGUGUUAGCCAAUCAACAAUUUCAUCAGGAGACUCAUUACCUGUAAAUUCUGGAACAUCUUUCUUGAUUUCCUUUUCCCAAUCUGGCUCACGAAUAUGUUGUAAACGAUGUUGAACAUGCCUCCGACCGUGAAUAGAUUGAACACUCUCCGAAGAGGAAGAGUCACCAUGGGAAUCUUCAGUCCUGGAACGGGGUGGAGAAUUAUUUGCUUCAGCCCUCAAUCGCUGAACUUCUUGCGUCAAUUCGUCAAUUUGUUGUUGCAUAUUCUCAGCGAGUGUGUGCAAUUCAUUGAGGGGAAGGGUUCUGCCGCCACGACGCCUAGCUUGUCUUGGAGGCAUUGUCCUCUCCUCCAAAGCUCUGAUACCAAAUGAUGCAAGCCUAGGGGAGGCUUUCUCAAACAAUAGGAUCGGGAGAGUGACUCGCCCACAAGACACGGGACGAACAGUAAUUUCAGCACUGCGCAAGCUCAGGAGAACAGUCUUAUCUUUGUUGAUACAGAUCGGAUCGACCUGAUUCCAAAGCCAAAUGAACAAAGACUUCUGGAUCUACAAUUUUUCUGUUUUGGGUUUUCUCAAAUAAGCACUGUAGAGUAGUCGAAAUUGGGUUGGAAGUAACGAACAGAAUAGGAAAAGAUAGAAACUCCAUUGGUUGCUCUUCUAGGCCUCCAAGGAAGUUGAGGGGGCACCGAUUCUUCUAGAUCGAUGAGUGCAACUCUUCAAUGAUGCAGAUUUCAAAAGCUCCGACUCUUCAAGGACGGAGUGAAAACUCUUCUAGGUUUCAAGGGUUGAACUCUACAAGGUUCACGAUACUUGCUUCAAGCAACGUUUUUCAUUCAUCAAAAGCUGUUCGUCUUCUACCAGAAAUUGGAUGGCUUAUAUUGUCAAAGAAAUAAAGACAGAGCAUUGAAACUAGGAGAAAUAAAGACAGAACAUUAAAACUAGGAGAAAUAAUAAAAACAUAACGUCUUCAUGGCUCCCAAGGUGUCUUUCCAGCUUCCGGGAUGGACUCAAGAUGUCGUUAUGGCUUCUCGGUUUCGUCGAGCUUUAAUGCGGGCCGAUCUUCUUGGUCGAGAGAGUCGGUCUUCAAUGUGGG